UCCGCCACCACUGCCAUUUUGAGUACUGGUCUCCAUCUUGGCUCUGAAGAAGGACCCCUCCGGCUGGCAUUGAACACAUCUGAAGUCCUGGAGAGAAAGACAGGCAAAUAUAUACAUGAGACGACCAGAUGACAUUUGAGUAGAAACGACCCUAUGUAAAUCAUAACUGAUAAGAGUUUGGCAACAUGGGUUGGCUAGCUACCAACUGGAGUUGUUUUGCUUGACAUAUAAAUCAACACCUCACAUUAGGAGUUACUGUUCCAAUGUAAAAGUGUAGGCCUAUGCCCAAUUCCAAUCAUAUCCCCUAACCGUAGGCACUUUCUGUUUGGUGUUAAAAGGAUGUGAGAAGUAACAACAACAUAAUAUAUACCUAACAGUACCUCUAAGGCAGCAUUUCACCAUUUGUUUACCAUUUCAUCUGAUAGGCGAACUUAAAACAAAGAUUUGACAUAAUGAAACAGUGGAUUGGUCAUGUUUCUGUAUGUUGGGAAAUGGACAGUAGGCAUGCUGGGCCCUUCUGAUUGGAGGACUUAGGUACAUACCAACUAUUUCCUAUUACAUGAGUUAUGUACAGGGAAAAUAAAGAGCAAUGCAAGGAAGAGAACACGAGGCAAUGCUGAGACAGGGCUAGUCUACAACUUCAACAAAAGUUGAGGCACUCAAACAUGUCUUCAUGGCAUACUGUGUAUCAAAACUUGCAUCCUUAUAUGUCCCAUAACUAGAAGGUAGAGACUUUAGACUUGUUGCCACUAUUUCCAGAUGAGUGAAAAACAACUGAUUGCUAGUUUCGAAGAACUCAUAAUUGAACAUUUCUAAAUAUUUGUUAAUUCACUCUGGAGGCAAUUAUUAGCCUAAUACAUCAUGGUGUGCAUGACACUCUUGUUUGAGUGUGCGUGUGUAGGGCAGCGGAUGAGCCCAAAGACCAUGACAUUUGAGAUGGGCUUUUAAAUAGACAAAUGGACAGGCGAGACGGAAAAGUAAAAACCCAAAUCUCCUAUUAUGAAAUAGCCUAACAUAAACGCCAAUAGCCCCACCAAACAUUCAAAUAUUGACUUUUAUCAUUCAACCUUUCUUCUAUAAUGUAAAAUAGCCCUCUAUUUUUGUUCGGAAUAAAAUAAAAAAUAAAAAACACUUUUCAACUGCGCUAAAUAUGUGUUUAUGUGUAGGCUACCGUUCACAGAUUUGUAUAUACUAAUAUUAUCUAGUCAAAAUGCAUGAUCUACAGACAGGCUAUCAAUUGUUUUAAUAAGAGGGUGAUGUCUAGACCGUUAUUCAGAAGGGGAAAAACAUAAACCCUACUUUUUAGAGCAAGAAGCUGUAUGUUGGCCUAUUCAGAUGAGAAAAUGCUGGGAUUGCACGGGGAAGGUUGGAGAAAGGAUGGGGAAAGUCAAUGCGAGUCGGCAGUUGGAACUCCCGAGUCCGAGAGCAUGCAUAAAACUGAAUUGGGACUAAAGUGGGCACCUGAUUGCAUUUCACUCCAUUGCAUUGGCUUGGCCGGAGAAAACAGUCCUGCCUGACACAUUUGGAGGUAAAGGACAUCCCACCCUGACACCCAGCAGAUGUAAAGAACUUGUUUUGAACCUCCCAACCACCCGGAUAAUCACCAUACCAUGACUGUGUUGUUGUGUGUAUAUAUAGACUAAAUGUAUAUGGACACCCUUUCAAAUUUGUGGAUUUGGCUAUUU